CUGAAAUCUGAAGAGAAAACUGGGAUAAGUAUUGCUGUCUAUUCUUAGAAUUACUUAUCUGGAAGAAGUAGCAGAUAGUUCUCAGCUUGGUGUUAAUUGUGUCAGAUGGGCUAGAAGAGUCCAAGUGCACUGAUGCCUAGGAUGCAUUGCGUGUCUGAACGAUGCAGUGAUGAGAUGCCUUUAUAUGUUGCCCAAUAUUCUCUUUUGAUAUGCUGGUUCUUCUCUGGCUGUGGAUUCCUCCUCUGGGAAAAAUGUUGUGCCCACACCUGAAGACUCCUUCCAGUCGGCUACACAGAAAGGUGUGUUGUUUCUACAGCAAGUGCUUCUAUGACUUACUGGCAUGGUUGCUUUCUGCUUAUUGUGAUUAUGGACAAGAGAGGACAAGUCACAGCUUGGAAGAAGGUGGAAGGACUCAGCUAUUACAGAAGUACUUCACUCUUCAUUACAUUGGCAGAGUAGAAGGGAAAU